UACGUAGGGUGCGAGCGUUAAUCGGAAUUACUGGGCGUAAAGCGCACGCAGGUGGCUGAGUCAGUCGAUUGUGAAAGCCCUGGGCUUAACCUGGGAAUUGCAGUCGAUACUACUCAGCUCGAGUAUGGGAGAGGGCAGUGGAAUUCCCGGUGUAGCGGUGAAAUGCGUAGAUAUCGGGAGGAACAUCAGUGGCGAAGGCGGCUGCCUGGCCCAAUACUGACACUCAGGUGCGACAGCGUGGGGAACAAACAGG
rnacentral:rRNA from 1 species